CAGCAGCCGCGGGAAUACGUAGGUCCCGAGCGUUGUCCGGAUUUAUUGGGCGUAAAGCGAGCGCAGGCGGUUAGAAAAGUCUGAAGUGAAAGGCAGUGGCUCAACCAUUGUAGGCCUUGGAAACUGUUUAACUUGAGUGCAGAAGGGGAGAGUGGAAUCCCACGUGUAGCGGUGAAAUGCGUAGAUAUAUGGAGGAACACCGGUGGCGAAAGCGGCUCUCUGGUCUGUAACUGACGCUGAGGCUCGAAAGCGUGGGGAGCGAACAGGAUUAGAUACCCGCGUAGUCCCUGUCUCUUAUACA
rnacentral:rRNA from 1 species